AUUGAACGCUGGCGGCAGGCCUAACACAUGCAAGUCGAGCGGCAGCACAAGGGAGUUUACUCCUGAGGUGGCGAGCGGCGGACGGGUGAGUAAUGCCUAGGGAUCUGCCCAGUCGAGGGGGAUAACAGUUGGAAACGACUGCUAAUACCGCAUACGCCCUACGGGGGAAAGGAGGGGACCUUCGGGCCUUCCGCGAUUGGAUGAACCUAGGUGGGAUUAGCUAGUUGGUGAGGUAAUGGCUCACCAAGGCGACGAUCCCUAGCUGUUCUGAGAGGAUGAUCAGCCACACUGGGACUGAGACACGGCCCAGACUCCUACGGGAGGCAGCAGUGGGGAAUAUUGCACAAUGGGGGAAACCCUGAUGCAGCCAUGCCGCGUGUGUGAAGAAGGCCUUCGGGUUGUAAAGCACUUUCAGUAGGGAGGAAAGGGUGUAACUUAAUACGUUAUAUCUGUGAUGUUACCUACAGAAGAAGGACCGGCUAACUCCGUGCCAGCAGCCGCGGUAAUACGGAGGGUCCGAGCGUUAAUCGGAAUUACUGGGCGUAAAGCGUGCGCAGGCGGUUUGUUAAGCGAGAUGUGAAAGCCCUGGGCUCAACCUAGGAAUAGCAUUUCGAACUGGCGAACUAGAGUCUUGUAGAGGGGGGUAGAAUUCCAGGUGUAGCGGUGAAAUGCGUAGAGAUCUGGAGGAAUACCGGUGGCGAAGGCGGCCCCCUGGACAAAGACUGACGCUCAUGCACGAAAGCGUGGGGAGCAAACAGG
rnacentral:rRNA from 1 species